CCCCUGAGCUUUCUUCCAUAGGCCACUUUUGGAAAAGUAUACAAGAUUACAGACCUGAGACCUUGUAAUGUCAUUUUUAUUCAGUAAAUAAUGUAUUUAUUUUGUCUAAUAUUUAUUAUAGUCAUCUGAACCAGAGAAGUUUUUUGGCCCCUCAGUCUAACACAGUCCUUGACUUGCUGAACACGGUUGUCAUGGCAGCUGCCCUGGUUUUCCUGAGCCUCUUGAAUUGUCUUUGCUCACAAUACAAAUUUACUUGCACUUCUAUGUAAACCAAUACGUUUUUACAGUAUUAUUUAUUAUAGUCAUCUGAACCUGUAAGAUAAAUUUGAAUUAUCAAAUGUAUCAAAUCAUAUCAAAUCAAAUGAAGUAUAAUCAAAUGAAAAAAUCAGUCAGAAACAGCAAGUAAAAUUCACGUGGGAAAUGUAAAGCCAGACGAGAGAGCAAGUUAAAACGGGGACAUAGGGCUGUGAGAAAGGGCAGCGAAAAGAGAAAUCAUAAAUGGUCAAGGCUGUGGCGCAGAUAAGGGAAAGCUUCCCUGAAAGAUGUGUCAGCAGAUUAAAAACAGAAGUUCUGUAAGUGGAAAAUACCACAAGAAUCAUGUGUUAUUGCUAUGUACAGAGUGGACGAGACAGUAUGUCACAAUCUUAAGAUCGAUCGAUAGAUGGGCGGCCCAGGGGCCCAGAGUGACAUCACAGGAUUAGGCCUUAAAAGUUUGAGCAUCGCCUGUAUCAGAUCAGAAUGCAUUCUCCAACUUGCUUGACUGUACUUGAUUGUCUGUUGAGCGAGUUGUAUUGUACCAGCAUCUACCAGUAAAACUUAUCUUGUUACAACAAAUUGCUUCGUAUGGUGGUUCCUCUCCAAAACAACACGCAAGAGUGAAAAUAACAAACCUCAGAAGUGUUUUUGUCCCCUCAGUGUAAUAAUCUUAACACGUUUGCCGUGGCAGCUGACCUGGUUUUCCUGAGCCUCUGUGUGUUGACCUUUGCCCUGUUGCCAGGGGCAGCGACAGUGAACUUUGCUCAGCUGAACUCAACUCAAACUCAUUUACAUUUACAUUUACAUUUAGUCAUUUAGCAGACGCUUUUGUCCAAAGCGACGUACAAGGGAGAGAACAGUCAAGCUAAGAGCAAUAAAAAAGCAUGGUGUAACA
rnacentral:lncRNA from 1 species